rnacentral:rRNA from 1 species
GUCCUUUAAGUCUGAUGUGAAAUCCCCGGGCUUAACCUGGGAACUGCAUUUGUGACUGCAUUGCUGGAGUGCGGCAGAGGGGGAUGGAAUUCCGCGUGUAGCAGUGAAAUGCGUAGAUAUGCGGAGGAACACCGAUGGCGAAGGCAAUCCCCUGGGCCUGCACUGACGCUCAUGCACGAAAGCGUGGGGAGC